rnacentral:lncRNA from 1 species
UUUUUUGCAAAAUAAAGAUAAUUCAAAAAAAUUAUAAAUCAAUGAAAAUAAAAAUUCAACUCAAAAUUUUUAAAUAUUAUGCAAAAUCAAAAUGAAACAAAAUACACGAGACGGAAAAAACUACAUAUUAAAAAAUAAUUAAAUAUUGGUGUAUUUUCCUAUCAAACAUAUGCAUACAUAGAGGCUUUUGCCCUGUUUUUGCCAAACGAAAGAAACAACCCAAUUACAUACCAAUAUGCAAUUUGAUUUCCCAAUCUCAUGGCUGAAAAAGGGGGAAUCCCAUAGUAAAGAUCUUAGGGUUUUUUUGUUUGUUUACUUACUAUAGCAGCAUGAAAUAGGUUAUUAAAACAAGUGUGUUUCACUCGUUCAGAAACACAAUCUCCAUAGUUGAGUUGGAACUAGAUUAAAGACGAUUGCAUGAAGACAGAUUUUGACCAUAAAUGGUUGUUACACAAACUGGUUUGAUAUUUUGAUUGUGUCGAACCAUUAGAAGAAGAAAAACAACUUCUCUAAUUCCUCCCUUUUUUCCAAUUGAUAAUAGUUUAUAAAAGGGUGACGGCUAAAUUUAGACGGCAAAGAUGCCAUUAUUAGUUAAUUAUUUAUUAUUAUUACUAGUUUGAUGUGUAAUUUGAUUACGUUUUUUCGAAAAGUCGUGUCCCAAUAUAACUACUACUUAUUUUAGUAACAAAAUUUUCCAUUAAUCAAGGAGUUAAAUCCUUUAGGUUAGUUUGGCUUUUGUUUUAUAUUUUUUUAAAAUUUUUAAUUUAUCUUUAAAAUCCAUAUCCUAUUAUUUAUUUGACCAAAAAUGAUAUUACGUAUAUAAGUUUUUUUAAACUUGUAAAAAAUAUUAAUUUUAAUAAUACGUCAAUUAAGAUAAAAGUUAAUCAAUUAUUUUUUUUAAUACAAUAUAAAAAAACAAAAAAAUACAAAAUAAAUUGAUACUUAAAAUCGAAUGAUAAAAAGCAAAAAUCAAUUGUUACAGUAUUAGAACCGAUUGUAAAAUUAAAGUUUUUGAAUUUUAUUUUAAAUAUAAUUCAAAAUAUUAAAAAAAUCAAAUGAAAACGAAACGAACUUGAAUUCUUUAUGAUGAUUUAAUGAUUUCUUUUGUAGAAAGCAUACAAUAAAGAGUAGGACUUGUAGAUUAAUCAAUGUAGGUAAUGCUUGAAAAAGAAAUGGAAUAAAGGAACAAGGCAUGAGAGGAAUUGCAACUUUUUUCAGUUAUUAGUCAUUACUUAUUCUUUUGAUAAAAGCAAGUUAAAAAAAAUGGUGAAAGAGUGUUGCAGGAGAAGACUAAUGGGAGAGAACAAAACAGAAAGCAACUGGAAAUAAUCCAAAUUACAGAUGACAUUAAUCUUAACAAUUGCAAAAGAUGAAGGAUUAUAUGUUGGAAUUACUAAACAAAUGAAGCAUCCAAAACGAUCCAGUUUCAUGUCAAGUUGUUGGUGGGCAAUCGAGAAUGAAAUGAAACAGUCUAUUACCCCAUAUAUUCAGUUAUUUACAGAAUAAAUAGGCUUUGAAUUGAAAUUUUUUUCAUUGUUUUCACAUUUCUAAUGUUCACUUCUUUUUUUUUUUUCUCAUAAAAAAAUCACAUCUUUUAAGUCCCAAAAAAGAAUAAAAAACCAUUAAAAACAUAUAUAAUAACAUAUAUUUUUAUUUAUUUAUUUAUAAUUGGACAUGGUGUCAUUUUGUGAAAAUUCUGUUUCUCGUCCUAAAUAUUUGGUUUUCUUGUUUAGAGCACUCCUCUGCUACGAUUUGAAUUUGAAUUUGAAUUGUGUGGCAACCUAUAAAUUACUGCUUUCCUGCAGGCGUGUGUUAAGAGAAUCCAAGGUGAUUAUGGUCUUCCAUUUAUAAAUGCGUAAGUAGUUUUAUUUGCUUAGCUGCAUUUUGGUUAUAUUCUGUAACUUGUCCUGAUACCAACUUGGCGGAAUGCAGGUUGCACCAUCGCUAUUCUCGAAAGUGAAAUAACCAGGGCCAAUGUUGUUUAAGUUGACAUUAGCAUCACGUCCGGCUGUUUUGAGUUCGAAAGCCAGUGAUUGUUUCAGAAACUAUUGAUCUUGUAUUGUGAACUUGAGAUGCCUUCGCGGCUUAUCUGAGAACUGUAAAAAUUUUUUUGUGUUACUGUGGAAACGUUUAAUGAUUUAUCAAUAAAUUUGGAUCCUUGGAGACAUGACUAUGGGCUGGUCAGAAGUGCCAUAACGGAAUGACAGCAAUAAUUUGAAUAUAAACUGUGUUGAUGUUACCUGCAUAACUAUUCAUGUGUAGCUUUAAAUUAGGUAUUUAAAUUGGUUUUUUCAAAGGUUGCAUAUGAUAAUUUGGGUCUAAAAGAAGAGAUUUGAAUUUUAAAAUUAGUAUAAAUUGUGUGAGAAAAACAUGUAAAUAUGAUCGACAUAAUUAAUCUUAAAGUAAAGAGUUUGUCUAAUUUUUGUUUAGUGUGAAUUUCGUUCUCACAAUAAACUAAAGUGUAUGAAUUGUUAGCAUUGCAGAUAAAAAAACCAUUAAUCUCAACCAGUUAAUAACAAAUUCAGUGAGAAUCUUAGAACUGCUCCAUUAACUAAGGGAAGACUUGAGUUCCAGCAACAACUGGUGCAUCUGCGCUUGCUUUUGCUGUUGGGGCUGUCAUACCAUUAGUUUCUGCUUUGUUCAUAAAUGUUUACGUGGUGAGGUUGGUGGUGGUGCUGGCUGUUGCUAGCUUAGGCCUGUUAGCGUUUGGCGCGUUGGGAGCCCUUUUGGGGGGUGCACCCAUGUUGAAGGCGUCGUUAAGGGUGCUGGUCGGAGGAUGGCUUGCCAUCGGAGUAACUUUUGGCCUCACCAAGUUGAUUGGUCGUUCAGGACUCCAAUCCAUCUUCUAUAUUUAAUAUAUACCUUUUUCCUACAUGUUUUUUCUUUUUGCUUUUCAUAGUUAUGAAUCUAUCCAAGGAUUCAACAUCUACUCCUCCAUUGAUCUAUAUGCGGAUCUAGAAAUAUAAUUUGAGGAGAUCAAUUAAUAAUACUCCCUCUAUUUUAUAUUGUUUGGGUAGUAUCGACUUUCAUGAAGUUUUAAAAAAAAAAUUGAUUUUAAUGUAUUUAAUAUUAAAAUUAAAAUUUUUUUAUAAAAUUAAAAUUCCAUGACUUUUAAUAUCAAGAAAUUAAAAAAAAAUCAUAAAAAAUAAUUUUAAAAUAUGAAAAAAGAGUUUUAGAUGAUAAAAAAAAUAAUUUUAGGACAUCUCAAAAAAAAAAAAAGAAAAAAAUGUGACAGAGUGAGUAUAUAUAAUACACUUUAUCUUAUUUUUUCUUAGGCGUUUUUUAUUAUAUUAUUAAUAUAUAUGUAUAUACACACAUAAAUAAUAUAUUAAUAAAAACAUGAUAAGCUCAUAAAAUUAUAAAACAAAAAUAUUAUUAUGACAACAUUAUUCUUUUAACAAUAACAUGAUUUAUAAUUAAUAGUAAAAUUACUAAUUACACAAUCUUUAAUAAAUUAUGAGAUUUUUUAUUUUUUGACAAUUUAAAAUUAAAAUAAAAAGGAAGUAUGAAUAAAUAAUCAUUUAACAUUUUAUAAAAAAAAAAAAACUAAAAAUAUUUUUAAAAAAAUGGAGAUGAAACUUUGAGACUAAAAGUUAUAAUGUUUUUUUAUCCUUUUGUAAACUAGUUUCAAUAUGAUUUUUUUUUUGUUGGAAAAAGAAUUUUAACACUUGAUAGAGAUUUAAAGUAAAAAUUAAAAGUAAAAAAUGAUAUGAAAAGGAGUUGUAGUAAGCUAAAUCUCCCUUUCUUUAAAUCUCCUAAACUUUGACUUCUUUUGUACCAAAAAAAUAUAUAUUUGGUGCUUAGUUGAAUACUUUAAUUUUGUCGAGAAAGUUGAAAAAUUAAUUUGACCUUUGUUAAGUUCAUGUGAUUUAAAAUUUGUGAUAAAUCUUUUGAUUUUAAGAAAUUGUAAAUAAUAAUUAUUGGAUAUAAUAACUGAAAAAAUAUUAAUACGAUUUGGACAUCUCUUAAAUUACAAUAUCUAAAAUUAAGUUAUAAAACACAAAAAAAAAAAUUUUAAUUUAGAAGGUCAAUUUAAAUAUAUUUUAUAUGAAUAUAUAUACAUGCUAAAGGGUGUUUAAAAAUUUUGGAAAGGGCCAAAGUCCCCUCAGGUUCCUAUUACCAACCGCCCAUGUCUCCAUCCCAUAUAUAAGUGUCUUGUUUGUCUAUCUUUAGUUGUUUCAAACAACAUGUCUUGUUUGAAAAGUUAAAUAAAAAUCAUUUUUACAUUUAUUUUAUCACUCUUAAUUAUACCUACAAACACUCUUUUUUUUUUUUUUUUUCAAAAUAAAGAUAAUUCAAAAAAAUUAUAAAUCAAUGAAAAUCAAAAUUCAACUCAAAAUUUUUAAAAUAUUAUGCAAAAUCAAAAUGAAACAAAAUUAUAUUAACAAGCAAUUAAAUAUUGAUGUAUUUCCUUCGUAUGCAUAUAGAAGUUUUUGCCCUAUUUUUCACCAAAUGAAAGAAACAACCCAAUUACAUACCAAAUAUGCAAUUUGAUUCCCAAUCUCAUGGCUGAAAAAGGGGGAUCCCAUAGUAAAGAUCUUAGGGUAUUUUUGUUUGUUUACUUACUAUAGCAGCAUGAAAUAGGUUAUUAAACAAAUGUGUUUCAGUCGUUCAGAAACACAAUCUCCAUUGUCGAGUUGGAACUAGAUUAACGACGAUUGUAUGAAGACAGAUUUUGACCAUAAAUGGUUGUUACACAAACUGGUUUGAUAUUAUGAUUGUGUCUAACCAUUUGGAAGAAGAAAAACAACUUCUCUAAUUCCUCCCUUUUUUCCAAUUGAUAAUAGUUUAUAAAAGGGUAACGGCUAAAUUUAGACGGCAAAGAUGC